UGGAGGACUGAGAAAAUAAAGCAGUUUGUAAGUACUGCAUUUAUUGGUUACAACCUCCAAAAUCAAAACUGCAAAAGCAAUUAUGUUUCUUUGACACCUGUACAGGAACACUGUUGCUUGUUGCAUAUAUUUC
ensembl:snoRNA